GUUUGCAAUUUAUAUACCCCACAUUCGAGUAACAAAAGGAAAAUGAGAGCAAUUGAAAAGGAAAAGCAAGAGUGAGUGACUCAGAACCCCAGAAGCAGCAGCAAAAGAAGAGCAUCACCAAAAGUCUACCAAAAAAACCAGAAUCAGAAGUAAUGGAUGCAGAUUUUUGGCCACCAAAAACUCAGUCUACUAGACAUCUUCCUGCUCAUCUUAGCUCAGGAAAUAGAUUUGUAUUGGAUGAUUCACAAGUAAAUGAUGAUGUAAAGAGUUUUACUGCUUGCCCAUUUUGCUAUGUCGAUAUCGAAUUGUGUAAGCUUUGUGAUCACCUUGAAGGAGAACACUGCUUCGAUGUCACGAAUUCGGUUUGUCCUCAUUGUGCACAAAAUUUGGGUAGAGAUGUUCCCGGACAUUUUUGGACUUAUCAUCCGUGUUCAAUCAAGACUCACAGAAGAGGUCAGAAGUCUGGAUUUUGGAAUUUUUAUGCUGGACGAAUGAUGGGGAACUCGAGUGUAAAAACUAACGCCGAAAAUCUGAAUGCUUUAGCUCCUGAUCCCCUUUUGUCUUCAUUUUUCUUCAGCAAACCAAAUCCGGAGACUAAAAAUGAUCAUUCUGAAAAUUCGUGUUCCUUCGAUGAUCUCUCAUCCAUCUCAGAGACAAAAAGAUGUAGAUGGUGUUUGUUAUCCAGAGUCAAUCAGAAGCAACCUCUUUAUUUUCAGUAGUAUGGUUGUAUACAUCCGACCUCCAAACCUCAUCUAGGUGGAACCACUUAAUGAUUUACCAUUGAGCUCAAAAUCAUCAACAUUCGCUCCAAGACAAACAAAGGAAGACUCAGAAGAGUUGAGGCAAAGAGCUGAAUUCUGUCGACAGUUGUUUUUUUCGACCAUAGUCUGAAAUUCUCUAAUUUUACUUCUAUCCAGGCGUCGCGAGAGAUGGUUGCAUAAGUUUCGGGUAGUUCGGUACAGAAAUUUCGAGUAUGUAUUUCGUUAAUGUCGUUAAAAGAAUAGGAUAGUUAUGUAUGGAAGAAAAUCAUCUAAAGUAAUAGUCUGUUUAGUGUAGCAAAGUUGAGCUUCAUUGUAGGAAAACAAUAUUCUUACCCUAUUAAAGAUAUUAUAUAUUUAUAUAAAUUAAUUAGAUUA